UACGUAGGGUGCAAGCGUUGUCCGGAAUUAUUGGGCGUAAAGAGCUCGUAGGCGGUCUGUCGCGUCUGCUGUGAAAACUCAGGGCUUAACCCUGAGCUUGCAGUGGGUACGGGCAGACUAGAGUGCGGUAGGGGGAGACUGGAAUUCCUGGUGUAGCGGUGAAAUGCGCAGAUAUCAGGAAGAACACCCGUGGCGAAGGCGGCUCUCUGGGACGUUACUGACGCUGAGACGCGAAAAGCGUGGGGGAGCAAACAGG
rnacentral:rRNA from 1 species